rnacentral:rRNA from 1 species
UACGGGAGGCAGCAGUGGGGAAUAUUGCACAAUGGGCGCAAGCCUGAUGCAGCCAUGCCGCGUGUAUGAAAAAGGCCUUUCGGGUUGUAAAGUACUUUCAGUCGUGAGGAAGGUGUUAAGGUUAAUAACCUUAGCAAUUGACGUUAGCGACAGAAGAAGCACCGGCUAACUCCGUGCCAGCAGCCGCGGUAAUACGGAGGGUGCGAGCGUUAAUCGGAAUUACUGGGCGUAAAGGGCACGCAGGCGGUUAAUUAAGUUGGAUGUGAAAUCCCCGGGCUUAACCUGGGAAUGGCAUUCAAGACUGGUUAGCUAGAGUCUUGUAGAGGGGGUAGAAUUCCAUGUGUAGCGGUGAAAUGCGUAGAGAUGUGGAGGAAUACCGGUGGCGAAGGCGGCCCCUGGACAAAGACUGACGCUCAUGUGCGAAAGCUGGGGAGCAAACAGGGAUUAGAUACC